UUAGGGCUUGAGUUUCUGUCGUCCCUUUUCUGGGCCGGAGGCAUUUUAGAAAAUAAUUGGGGCAGGAAGCCGCCCAGUGGACAGGCUGUGCGUUUUACCAUUUCCCCUGCGUACUUAAACGAUGUGUGGCAAGUUCCAACGGAAAAGCUUCAUCUUUUUCUCAAAUUGGAGGCCAUAAAUGAAGACCCAAAGAAGUAGUCCAGUUGAGGUGUUGGAGCUUGCAUACCAUUUCAACAAAAAGCAAUAAAUUCUGGAGAAGUGAGAAGACGAAGGACGGAAACAACUCUGAACACUGUUAUCACGCUGAUCCAAGCCACCAUUGUCUCUCCUUGAUCUCCCUGCAUCGGCUAUGGCCACCUCAACACAAUAGAUACAACAUAGCAUCAAGUUUCUUGUAUACGUGAGCAAACCCACCAAGAAAACAGCACCAGAAACCAAUCUUCCUGCAGUCUCCCCUCUGCCCCAGCUUUGGAACCACUGGCAGUCAGGAUCUUAGGAAGGAUUUUCACAGAUGCUCGUUUCAGGUAAACUUUUAUAAUGACCUCGGCUAGUAGCUCUAUUUGCACACACGCCGAUGAGGAAAUCGACGCAGCUGGAAAAGCGCUUGGCGGACGCGCUGGCCGGGGGCCCCAUCACUAGCCGGGGACGUCAGGGCUCUGAGGUCACCACUGUCCCGAGGC